UAGGCAGAAGCCUGUUGGUUAUGGCAUCUGACUGUUAAUUAGAAGUUCAUGGGAUCGAAGCCCAUCUGCCUAG
rnacentral:tRNA from 1 species